rnacentral:lncRNA from 1 species
CCAAUUACCAUCCCGGCAUUUUAGCACAAUUUAUUUUCUUUCACAAUUCACAAUAGCAUCAUACAGACCAGUCCAUACUCAGAAUCACAUCAAAUUCAUCAAAGGAUAACAACAUCAAACUAGCAGGGAAAUCGUAACCCAUAAUUUUCAGUGGACAUGAUCUACAUAACUGAUUAACUAAAACAUACUGACCAAGGGAAUUUGUAACUUUGACAGUAUAUUCAGUGAAUU